UACGUAGGGCGCAAGCGUUAUCCGGAAUUAUUGGGCGUAAAGAGCUCGUAGGCGGUUUGUCGCGUCUGCCGUGAAAGUCCGGGGCUCAACUCCGGAUCUGCGGUGUGUACGGGCAGACUAGAGUGAUGUAGGGGAGACUGGAAUUCCUGGUGUAGCGGUGAAAUGCGCAGAUAUCAGGAGGAACACCGAUGGCGAAGGCAGGUCUCUGGGCAUUAACUGACGCUGAGGAGCGAAAGCAUGGGGAGCGAACAGG
rnacentral:rRNA from 1 species